AACGCACCUUGCGCCUUUUGGUAUUCCGAAAGGCAUGCCUGUUUGAGUGUCAUGAAAUCUCAAUCCCCCCGGGUUUUCUGAACCCGAGGUGGACUUGGACAUGGGCGCUGCCGUCUUGUACGGCUCGCCUUAAAUGAAUCAGUGGGAUCUUCAGCAUCCGUGGCAGACGUAAUAAGUUUCGUCUCGUCCCUUGCUGUGAGGACCGCUCAUAACCUGCCAUCGCGCAACCAAUUUUGACUCUGACCUCAAAUCAGGUAGGACUACCCGCUGAACUUAA
rnacentral:misc_RNA from 1 species